GAAAGGUGAAAAGCAGUUUUGCACAGAUGACAGAGAUCUCAACUGGAAAAAAACACACAACUGAUUUUUGCACUGUGGUUUAUUUCAGUGGUAAUCCAAACACACAGGAGUUCCACAUGGAUGUCAAGGGCAAAUGAAUGGCAUUUAAGCAGCCUUCACACAUUGCAUCAAACAGGCAAGCAAACUACUGACCUGCAAUAAAAAGUUCUUCCAGGGCCGUCAACACAUUUACCUCCAUUGAAACAGAGAGAUGAGUUCAGAAGAGGUUCAGUGCAAACAUCAAUAUCCACUUCACAAAAUUCACCAGUGUAUCCGCUCAAGCAAGUGCACUCAAAUGCAUUGACCAAAUCUUGACAAGAACCACCAUUAAGACAGGGAGUAGAUUCACAUUCCUGAAGAGAUAAAUGACAAUAAAUUGAUUGAGCCUUAGCAGUAUAAUAUUGCUUCCUAUGAACAGAUCUCUGCACUUCACUCAAGAUACUGAGAAAUAUGGUCUUCCUCAAUAAAACACUUUUUGCUUAACUUUAGGUACCGAAAUAG